rnacentral:rRNA from 1 species
GAUUAGAGUUUGAUCCUGGCUCAGAUUGAACGCUGGCGGCAGGCCUAACACAUGCAAGUCGAGCGGUAGCACAGAGAGCUUGCUCUCGGGUGACGAGCGGCGGACGGGUGAGUAAUGUCUGGGAAACUGCCUGAUGGAGGGGGAUAACUACUGGAAACGGUAGCUAAUACCGCAUAACGUCGCAAGACCAAAGUGGGGGACCUUCGGGCCUCAUGCCAUCAGAUGUGCCCAGAUGGGAUUAGCUAGUAGGUGGGGUAACGGCUCACCUAGGCGACGAUCCCUAGCUGGUCUGAGAGGAUGACCAGCCACACUGGAACUGAGACACGGUCCAGACUCCUACGGGAGGCAGCAGUGGGGAAUAUUGCACAAUGGGCGCAAGCCUGAUGCAGCCAUGCCGCGUGUGUGAAGAAGGCCUUCGGGUUGUAAAGCACUUUCAGCGGGGAGGAAGGCGGUGAGGUUAAUAACCUCAUCGAUUGACGUUACCCGCAGAAGAAGCACCGGCUAACUCCGUGCCAGCAGCCGCGGUAAUACGGAGGGUGCAAGCGUUAAUCGGAAUUACUGGGCGUAAAGCGCACGCAGGCGGUCUGUCAAGUCGGAUGUGAAAUCCCCGGGCUCAACCUGGGAACUGCAUUCGAAACUGGCAGGCUAGAGUCUUGUAGAGGGGGGUAGAAUUCCAGGUGUAGCGGUGAAAUGCGUAGAGAUCUGGAGGAAUACCGGUGGCGAAGGCGGCCCCCUGGACAAAGACUGACGCUCAGGUGCGAAAGCGUGGGGAGCAAACAGGAUUAGAUACCCUGGUAGUCCACGCUGUAAACGAUGUCGAUUUGGAGGUUGUGCCCUUGAGGCGUGGCUUCCGGAGCUAACGCGUUAAAUCGACCGCCUGGGGAGUACGGCCGCAAGGUUAAAACUCAAAUGAAUUGACGGGGGCCCGCACAAGCGGUGGAGCAUGUGGUUUAAUUCGAUGCAACGCGAAGAACCUUACCUGGUCUUGACAUCCACAGAACUUUCCAGAGAUGGAUUGGUGCCUUCGGGAACUGUGAGACAGGUGCUGCAUGGCUGUCGUCAGCUCGUGUUGUGAAAUGUUGGGUUAAGUCCCGCAACGAGCGCAACCCUUAUCCUUUGUUGCCAGCGGUUAGGCCGGGAACUCAAAGGAGACUGCCAGUGAUAAACUGGAGGAAGGUGGGGAUGACGUCAAGUCAUCAUGGCCCUUACGACCAGGGCUACACACGUGCUACAAUGGCAUAUACAAAGAGAAGCGACCUCGCGAGAGCAAGCGGACCUCAUAAAGUAUGUCGUAGUCCGGAUUGGAGUCUGCAACUCGACUCCAUGAAGUCGGAAUCGCUAGUAAUCGUAGAUCAGAAUGCUACGGUGAAUACGUUCCCGGGCCUUGUACACACCGCCCGUCACACCAUGGGAGUGGGUUGCAAAAGAAGUAGGUAGCUUAACCUUCGGGAGGGCGCUUACCACUUUGUGAUUCAUGACUGGGGUGAAGUCGUAACAAGGUAAAUC